rnacentral:rRNA from 1 species
UACGUAGGUCGCAAGCGUUGUCCGGAUUUACUGGGCGUAAAGAGCGCGCAGGCGGCUGGUCAAGUCCGAUGUGAAAUCUCCCGGCUCAACUGGGAAACUGCAUCGGAAACUGAUCGGCUUGAAGAUGGGAGAGGGUAGUGGAAUUCCCGGUGUAGUGGUGAAAUGCGUAGAUAUCGGGAGGAACACCAGUGGCGAAGGCGACUACCUGGUCCAUUCUUGACGCUGAGGCGCGAAAGCUGAGGGAGCGAACGGG